rnacentral:rRNA from 1 species
CAUGCAAGUCGAACGGAAAGGCCCUUUCGGGGGUACACGAGUGGCGAACGGGUGAGUAACACGUGGGUGAUCUGCCCUGCACUUUGGGAUAAGCCUGGGAAACUGGGUCUAAUACCGAAUACACCCUGCUGGUCGCAUGGCCUGGUGGGGGAAAGCUUUUGCGGUGUGGGAUGGGCCCGCGGCCUAUCAGCUUGUUGGUGGGGUGAUGGCCUACCAAGGCGACGACGGGUAGCCGGCCUGAGAGGGUGUCCGGCCACACUGGGACUGAGAUACGGCCCAGACUCCUACGGGAGGCAGCAGUGGGGAAUAUUGCACAAUGGGCGCAAGCCUGAUGCAGCGACGCCGCGUGAGGGAUGACGGCCUUCGGGUUGUAAACCUCUUUCAACGCCGACGAAGCGGAAGUGACGGUAGGCGGAGAAGAAGCACCGGCCAACUACGUGCCAGCAGCCGCGGUAAUACGUAGGGUGCGAGCGUUGUCCGGAAUUACUGGGCGUAAAGAGCUCGUAGGUGGUUUGUCGCGUUGUUCGUGAAAACUCACA